GCAGCCGCGGUAAUACGGAGGAUGCAAGCGUUAUCCGGAUUUAUUGGGUUUAAAGGGUGCGUAGGCGGUUUUUUAAGUCAGUGGUGAAAAGCAAAAGCUUAACUUUUGGAGUGCCAUUGAAACUGAGAGACUUGAAUACGGUUGCCGUGGGAGGAAUGUGUAGUGUAGCGGUGAAAUGCAUAGAUAUUACACAGAACACCGAUUGCGAAGGCAUCUCACGAAGCCGGCAUUGACGCUGAGGCACGAAAGUGUGGGGAUCAAACAGGAUUAGAUACCCC
rnacentral:rRNA from 1 species